rnacentral:misc_RNA from 1 species
GAAGGGAAAGGUGUUAACCUAAAUGACCCCAUAGAGAGAGAUCUGCAAGAUGGAUCCUCAGAAGAAAGGCGAAAACAAUUUAGCCAGACAAUCCUGUCAGCUUGCCAGCACAGAUAGCAUCCGAUGAAAUUCAACAGAAAUUAACAUUUGAAACCAUGACAGACGGAUAACACUAUGAUCAGAAUCAAGGCAAUGAUAAUACCCAA